rnacentral:rRNA from 1 species
GACGUAGGUGGCGAACGUUAUCCGGAAUUAUUGGGCGUAAAGGGUGCGUAGACGGCAUGACAAGUUAUUGGCGGGAAAUCGAGGCUCAACCUCGUGGAAACUAGUAAUACUGUUUUGCUUGAGUACAGGAGAGGUUAACGGAACUCCAUGUGGAGCGGUAAAAUGCGUAGAUAUAUGGAAGAACAUCAAUAACGGCGAAGGCAGUUAACUAUUCUGUUACUGACGUUGAGGCACGAAAGCGUGGGGAGCAAAACGG